rnacentral:lncRNA from 1 species
CCCAGGGAAAGCUUUACAAAAACCCACAGAGGUAACUGUACCAUAUGAGAAGAUGCUACAAGACCAGUCAGCUUUGAUAGUACAGGGGCUUCCAGAAGGUGUUGCCUUUAAACACCCUGAGAAUUACUAUCUUGCAACCCUGAAAUGGAUUUUGGAGAACACAGCCGGGAUUUCAUUCAUUAUUAAGAGGCAUUUCCCUGGAAGUGGCAGCUGUGACAGUAAAGGAAGAAUCAGAAGAUCCUGAUUAUGAUUUAUAUCACAUUCAAGGAGCCAGCUGAGGAGGUGUCAUGCAACUUGCUGCCCCAGCCCUCCCCUUCUAAGGAACUCCCACACCUGCCCUGUCUUCCUGCUACAGUCUCUGAGAAAAGCCCUUUCAUCUGUCAAGAACUACAAAAGUCAUUCUUUAAGGU